rnacentral:rRNA from 1 species
GACGAACGCUGGCGGCAGGCUUAACACAUGCAAGUUCGCACGAGAACGCUCUGGCUUCGGCCGGGGCAAGUACAGUGGCGGACGGGUGCGUAUCGCGUAGAUAACCUGCCCACAGGCGCGGGAUAACCACGGGAAACCGUGGCUAAUACCGCACGUCGUCUGGACCCCGCAUGGGGACCAGAUGAAAGCCUUCGGGCGCCUUUGGAUGGGUCUACGUUGGAUUAGCUUGUUGGUGAGGCAACGGCUCACCAAGGCAACGAUCCAUAGCUGGUCUGAGAGGACGAUCAGCCACACUGAGACUGAGACACGGCCCAGACUCCUACGGGAGGCAGCAGUGGGGAAUCUUGCACAAUGGGGUAACCCCUGAUGCAGCCAUGCCGCGUGGAGGAAGACACCCCUAUGGGGCGUAAACUCCUUUUCUGCGCGAAGAAACCCCUCUUGUUGAGGGUGUGACGGUACCGCAGGAAUAAGGACCGGCUAACUCCGUGCCAGCAGCCGCGGUAAUACGGAGGGUCCAAGCGUUGUCCGGAAUCACUGGGCGUAAAGGGUGUGCAGGUGGGGCAGCAAGUCAGAGGUGAAAGCCCGCGGCUUAACCGCGGAAGUGCCUUUGAAACUGCUGCUCUUGAGUCCCGGAGAGGUUGCCGGAAUUCGUGGUGUAGCGGUGAAAUGCGUAGAUGUCACGAGGAACACCAGAGGCGAAAGCGGGCAACUGGACGGGUACUGACACUGAGGCACGAAAGCGUGGGGAGCAAACAGGAUUAGAUACCCUGGUAGUCCGCGCCGUAAACGAUGAAUGCUCGCCGUUGCCUCGUCAAGGGGCAGUGGCUAAGCUAACGCGUUAAGCAUUCCGCCUGGGGAGUACGAUCGCAAGGUUGAAACUCAAAGGAAUUGACGGGGGCCCGCACAAGCGGUGGAGCAUGUGGCUUAAUUCGAUGCAACGCGAAGAACCUUACCUAGGCUCGAACGCUAGGCGACCGCUCCUGAAAGGGAGCUUUCCGCAAGGACGCCUAGCGAGGUACUGCAUGGCUGUCGUCAGCUCGUGUCGUGAGAUGUUGGGUUAAGUCCCGCAACGAGCGUAACCCCUAUCGCUAGUUACCAUCGGGUAGUGCCGGGGACUCUAGUGAGACUGCCUGCGCAAGCAGUGAGGAAGGUGGGGAUGACGUCAAGUCAUCAUGGUCCUUACGCCUAGGGCUGCACACGUGCUACAAUGGCCGGUACAACGAGCAGCCACUCCGCGAGGAGGAGCGAAUCUCUGAAAACCGGUCUCAGUUCGGAUUGGAGUCUGCAACUCGACUCCAUGAAGCAGGAAUCGCUAGUAAUGGCGGAUCAGCAAUGCCGCCAUGAAUACGUUCCCGGGCCUUGUACACACCGCCCGUCAAGCCAUGGAAGCUGAGAACACCCGAAGUCCGUGACUCAAACUCCGGCCUUGUGCCGGAGGAAAAGCGGCCGAAAGGUGAAGUUCAGUAACUGGGGCU